rnacentral:rRNA from 1 species
UUGCUAACUUGAGACCGGCGCACGGGUGCGUAACGCGUAUGCAAUCUACCUUUUACAGAGGGAUAGCCCAGAGAAAUUUGGAUUAAUACCUCAUAGUAUAAUGACUCGGCAUCGAGUUAUUAUUAAAGUCACAACGGUAAAAGAUGAGCAUGCGUCCCAUUAGCUAGUUGGUGUGGUAACGGCACACCAAGGCAACGAUGGGUAGGGGUCCUGAGAGGGAGAUCCCCCACACUGGUACUGAGACACGGACCAGACUCCUACGGGAGGCAGCAGUGAGGAAUAUUGGUCAAUGGGCGCAAGCCUGAACCAGCCAUGCCGCGUGCAGGAUGAAGCAUCUAUGGUGUGUAAACUGCUUUUGUACGAGAAGAAACACUCCUUCGUGAAGGAGCUUGACGGUAUCGUAAGAAUAAGGACCGGCUAACUCCGUGCCAGCAGCCGCGGUAAUACGGAGGGUCCAAGCGUUAUCCGGAAUCAUUGGGUUUAAAGGGUCCGUAGGCGGGUUUAUAAGUCAGUGGUGAAAGCCCAUCGCUCAACGAUGGAACGGCCAUUGAUACUGUAGAUCUUGAAUUAUUAGGAAGUAACUAGAAUAUGUAGUGUAGCGGUGAAAUGCUUAGAGAUUACAUGGAAUACCGAUUGCGAAGGCAGGUUACUACUAAUGGAUUGACGCUGAUGGACGAAAGCGUGGGUAGCGAACAGGAUUAGAUACCCUG